GGCCGGGCAGGCUCUCCAACGCUGACACGCGCCCCGGGUGGAGCCGCGAACGCUGUCGCCAUUUUCCCCUGGGCCCGGGGUAGUACAUGCACAUGGAGAAAAGAAAUUCAAGCAGGACAAGAGUGCACAAGCAAGAAGACCCAGACAGAGAAGUUUCCCGAGUCAUCCACAUCGCUGACGAUUUCUGACUUGGUGGUUUCUCAUCGCACCUCCUCAGCACUUCGCCCGGCGGUUUCCGGGGAGAACGGCGGCCUUCCCUGCCGGGUUCUAGGCGAGCGUAACCAGCUCUUUGUGACUUCCGAAGUGAGGCUUCCUGGUAUCAAACACUCAUUAUUGACUACCUUGAGAUCUAAUAUGGUUGGAGGUAUAUGGAGGGGGGCUCAUUUUUCUUUUCAUUUCCCGAUUCCAUUCACAGUUAACGUUACCGACGGUUAAUAAAAUGUAGCUUGUGACUGUAAUAUGGGGACGGAGAGGUCCCAAUAAAUGUCAAAAGAUAUAAGACAAAAAAGUAUCUUGCGACUGUACGCGGGACUGCAUUGCUCCCAGUUUUGGCUAUAGAUGCACUAAAAGAACCUGUUAACACACACCAAAGUGCAUCCUUAUAAUAACCUCCUCAAUCAUUUAUUAAAAGUCGUGUCAAGCAGGCCCGUAUAAUUCAUCUCUAUGCAAAUACAUCAAUGUCAGGCCAUUAGUGUAUUGCUCAGGUUUUUAUUAAAGUGCAUUCUUUUUAAUUCAGCCCCGUAAAAUACGAGCCCCAUUGCUCAAGAAUUAUAGCAACUAUUAGAGUAACAUAUGGGCAACAUGCACUCAGAAAAUAAAAACCAACAGAUAAAGUGGCAGGGUCACAUCGCAGGAGCAAACACUUAACAAAAUGGCAGUGGGGUAAUAGAUUUUUCUCCCAAGGCCUUUGGCGAAAGGGUGUCAUGGGCAUUAACACCUAAGGAAAGGCAGAGCCUGGAAGUUACUCUGCAAGGAAAGGUAGAGCCUCGAAGUUACUCUGUGCUGUCUCAAACUCAGAACCAGCCAGGACUGGCAUCUCUGGAGUUAGGAGAGGGGAGGCUUCCUGAGCUCCUCUACAUUCGGCUACCAUCUUUCUAUAAAAGGAUUUCAACAUACCCCAGAGAAGGGUGUUCUGCUUUUUCUUAAAGCAAGAAUCCCUUAAGAGAUUUCGAUGUAGGGUUUAUGGCCCAACGCUCCUCCCUCUCUCCUCUCCACUCCCCCACCUCCUUCCUCAUCUUGGCUAUCUCUCAUCCCACACUUGCCUCACUGGAAGCCCCACCCACCUCUAGUACUUUCUGGGAUCACCCUUCCCUCCCUGCCUCUGCAGGAAGGUUGAGAAGGCCCGUGGAUGUGUAGGCAAAUUUCCCUCUCAUAUGUGGAAGCCUGUGUAAAAACUUCCCAUUGAAAUCAAUCCAUAGCUAAAAAUAAAACAUAUUUUAGCUCCCAACUCAGAAGAAACUUAAAUGCCCUCUGCCUGCACCCCUCACCUGGCACUGGCACUCGGGGACGCCCAAGUUUCCCAGGUUAGAAUGCAUUGCUGCAAAUUUUGUCAAACCGGGGAAAACUCUAGCCUGAUCUGAGAGGGAUUUUGCUAUUUUAGUUACUGAGGACAGAGUGGUGGCCAGUGGGUGGUGCCCUGCAGCCCUUCAGCAGACGCCUAGGCUUGAGAUGGAAUGGGGAAGAGAGAGAGAGAGAGAGAAUGAGAGAGAGAGAGAGAGAGAAGAGAGCACGCACGAGCAAACUGGUUUGCAACAGCCCCUGACAAAUCCACUGGAGAAGUCAGCAGCAUCAAAUUCAGUUUUUUAUUUUUGAUUGCCAUUAGAACAAUCAAUUUUCAGAGGCUGGAAAAUAAACCUCAAAUCCAAAACACAACACAGCCUAGACAGAAAAAUAGAGAGAAAAGUGGAAAAAACUCCUAAGAACAAUCUCCCAGAUUUAAUGAGAGAGUUGCCCACAUCCUCAUCACCCCAGGAUGGUAAUUGAGCAGAUCUAUUAACUUGUUACACUAGAUUUGUUUAAAGAGACUAUUACACAGUCAUUUAAUCAAUUUGUUACACUGGAGGUCCUGACUUAUGAGACACUUGCCUUAUGAUUCCUUAAUGACUGAAUUAAUUUGUUUUAAUAAAACCAACAUUGUGUACAAGUACAUUUCUAGAAAUGUAAUUUUGGAGACAGAACAGUCCAAUGCUUCAUCUGAUUAGGUCCUUUCUAUAGUUUAUCAAAGUCUGUAGUUUCUGACAUAGCUGCUUGUAUGGAGUAUUUUUCUUUUUUAUAGCGUCAUUAAUUUAAUAUGGAUCAUUAGUUCUUUAUACACAUGCAUGUUCUGACAAAUGUACCCAAUGAAUAAUGCAGCUAAUGUGCUUAGGCCCAAAUGCAUCACAUCAUAAACAGAGACCUCUGCAAAAAUAACAACAAUGAAAUGAAACACUACCUCCAGUCACCAUGGUCAUCAUCAGGGUAGCAUUCCAAGUUAUAUUUAAGUCUUGUUUUGUAGAGCAAGACGUGUUUGGCCCUAGGAUUAUAUCAACAUAACCAACUGGGUCUAACUAUGUAGUGAACACAAAUAGAUUUAUGGAGAAUUAAGGUUGCCUUGAAAGCAGAUGCAGGACAAGAAAAUUGGUUUUGCUCUUGAUGGAAGCUGACGUGUGUGGAAUAAAAUGUAAAUAAACAGAGAGUCCCCAAGAAAAGCGACUUGAUGUUAUUGAUUAUGUAAAAUAAUUAGGACAUUACAAAUGAUAAUGCACUACAGAUUGUUGGCAUGUAUAGCUUGAUUUUUUUUUUUUUUCCGAAGAAAUGGUGUAGGCUCUGAAACACCACUUGAAGAAUGGGCCAUGAUGUGGGACAAUAAAAAAUUAGUACUGGAGUGAUUGGAAUGAUCAGCUUCUAACCAAUAACUGAUAUAAAUGAUAACUGAAUGAGCCCGCUACAGAGGUAAACAUUUGAACUUAGAGGAAUAGAAGGAGGAGUGGUGGUCCUACAUGAUCACUGGAGGCAUAAAGUGGCUCUGCGUAAUGUGGGUAACUAUGCACAGAAGCCAAAUAUUGACUAAAUAGCUCAACAAUUAUUACAGGGGAGAGGGAGAUGCUGGAUAUAUUUUCAAUAAGGAGGUGCCUUAUAAAUCUUCCUUAACAAUGCUGGGCAGGCAGGCAUUUGAACUUGAUUUCAUUUUGAAUAAAGACUCCAGACUGCACACAUAUUAUCAGUAUAUUUGAAUGCUUUCAUGCUUUCCUUUUGCUGUCCCUUUCAAACAGAAAUGGAUGUGAAAGUUGAUGAACAGAAUUUGUAAAUAAAAAGAGAUGGCUACUUCUGCUGUAUCAGAAGUAAUAAUUCUUACAUAGCAAUGAAAGUCAACUUACAGUUAUAUGAAUAGAAAGAAAUCUGCUAUACUAAUGGUCUGAAAAAAGCUCACCAAGAUUUCAAUAAGAGGCACAAAAAUCAGAUGAAGUUGUAUUUAUUGGUUAUGGCUAAAACAAUGUAAUGUUAUUCUUAGUUGGGAUUCUCUUUUGAAACCGAU
rnacentral:lncRNA from 10 species